AAAGAGCAUCUUAAUAGAAAAUAAAGUUGCCUGAUAUUAAGUAGUAGUUUAUUUCAUGAAGCUUUGUAAAAUCCCAAACAAAAUGUAAAUCUCCUUUGUACUUUUGAGUAUUUCCCUAUAGCUAGGGUUGUACCGAUGACGGAGUAGCCCAAGGCAGCUGGGGCUGAUGGAAGCAGUGUUAGUAGGUGGGUUUAGUUCAGUUAUAGAGUCUUUUAAAAAAUCCUUACUUGCCUAAAGACAAGCAAGGUGUGGGGGAAAAAUCCCUGUACUAGUCAGGAAUACUGACUAGUAUUGACUAGUUUGAGUCUUGACUCAAAGCCAAAGUGGGGGUACGAUCUUGGGUAAGGGAUCUCAAGCCAUUCCUGCCUCAGCCUUCUCAGGCUGAGAAGCCCGAUUUUAUGAAAUCAAAUUCCCUUCCAGCUAACAAUUCUGACUUCUAAUUUCUUUCAAGCCUUGUGAUGAAUAAAAGCUUUAACUGCUAUUUCAGGUAUUUCCAUUUUCUGACCCCAUUUAUGUGUAAAAUAAGAAUAGUAAUAAUUGUUCUAUGUUCUGCAGUGUAAGUUUUCCAUGAAGAGGUAGAUAAUUCUGUGGUAGUGAUGAUUAUGGAGGAAGUAGGCAUUUUUUUUACAGUUAAUAUUCAAAAGAAUUAAUUCCUGUGAAAUGUGGAAACAUUAAUUGUUUUCCUCUUUUUAAAUAGGGUACAGCUUUUAUCUUGCACAUGAAUUUUUUGAUGUUCUUCCUGUGCAUAAAUUUCAGAAAACACCACAGGGAUGGCGAGAAGUAUUUGUUGACAUUGAUCCACAGGUUUCUGAUAAACUGAGGUUUGUUUUGGCACCUUCUGCCACCCCAGCAGAAGCCUUCAUACAACAUGACGAAACAAGGGAUCAUGUUGAAGUGUGUCCUGACGCUGGUGUUAUCAUCGAGGAACUUUCUCAACGCAUUGCAUUAACUGGAGGUGCUGCACUGGUUGCUGAUUAUGGUCAUGAUGGAACAAAGACAGAUACCUUCAGAGGGUUUUGCGACCACAAGCUUCAUGAUGUCUUAAUUGCCCCAGGAACAGCAGAUCUAACAGCUGAUGUGGACUUCAGUUAUUUGCGAAGAAUGGCACAGGGAAAAGUAGCCUCUCUGGGCCCAAUAAAACAACACACAUUUUUAAAAAAUAUGGGUAUUGAUGUCCGGCUGAAGGUUCUUUUAGAUAAAUCAAAUGAGCCAUCAGUGAGGCAGCAGUUACUUCAAGGAUAUGAUAUGUUAAUGAAUCCAAAGAAGAUGGGAGAGAGAUUUAACUUUUUUGCCUUGCUACCUCAUCAGAGACUUCAAGGUGGAAGCUAUCAGAGGAAUGCACGUCAGUCAAAACCCUUUGCAUCCGUUGUAGCUGGGUUUAGUGAACUUGCUUGGCAGUGAUAUUUCAGCUUGGACAUUUUACUCUUCAGUCGGCCCAAGAAAUCAAAAUAAAGGAAACACAUUUCAUACA
rnacentral:sRNA from 1 species